GGGGGCUCCUCAGGACUUGUUUCUAGAGAAAGAGAGGAUCAUGAGGACAUUGGUAUGGAAGGAGACAGGGGAAAAACCUCUUUGUGAUUACCCUGGGUUGAAAGAUUUUCAUUUCAACAUUGUCAGUCCCUCACCUUUCACGUGUGGUAAAUUCAUUCCCAAAGACCAGAGUGUUCUCUCUCCCUCUUCCUUCCUUUCUCCCUCCUUCUUUUCUCUUUCUUUCUUUCUUUCUUUCUUUCUUUCUUUCUUUCUUUCUUUCUUUCUUCUUCUUUCUCCUUUCUCUCUCCUUUGGUUUGUCUUUUCUUUCCACAAAACCACAUAUUACUUAGGUCUCUUGCAAAGCUGUACAAACCAACUGUUCCUUCUCAGAUUAUGCCCUUCAGAGGUCAGGUGAUAUGUCUCAUUGGGUUACACCUUCCAUGUUUUGUGGUCAGAUGUGGGCUGUGUCAUUCUACAUUUCUCCACCUUGCAAGAAAAUAUUUAUAUAUGAGCCUCACCAGGUCCUAUUUCCUUUGAGAUUGCUUCUGAGGAUACUGUCUUCAUGCUAGCGGCAGGCAGUUGAAUCGCAGGCCUUCACAGGACCACUGGACUUCUGGCAGCAAACAGGAAAUCGCUCCUUUCCCUCUGACUUCACUGAGCUGGAAGACUACGAGAGUGUUCUUUGUCCCACGAUUGGCGAAUGUUCUUUCGUUAGUGGUUCAGACACCAAUGCCAUUUCUUCAGAGCAUUGUCUACACCUGCAUAGGGUUUGUAAACAGCUCGUCUUCCUGCUCCUUUCCUGGCCUUUCGGGGCUCCAAAGAUGAGUAUCCCAAGAGAACAAGGUGGAAGCUGAACCAUCUUUCGAGCCUGGCCCAGGCACAUACUCUAUGGGUGCACCAGUCAGCAAGGCCAGCUCAUAUUCAAGGAGAAGGCACAUAGACCCUUUUAUGGAUUUGAGGAAUGUUCAAGAACUUGUGAAUAUGUCAUAAAACUGCUAAAAUGUCCAAUCAUGAUGACACCUGUUCUUAACCUUCGGUCUUCCAGGAGCUUCUAGUGGGAGCUAUGAAAGCCAACUGUCACUUGUCCAGCACAGUGUCAGAGGGCAACGGGCCCUGGUGUGCCCAACACCCAGCAUCUCCAUCAGAUACUGCUUUGACAUCUUCACAGUGAGGUCUUAUCCACAGCCAUGAAUGUUUAGGCGGGGUUUGCUGCUCAGCUGCUGACCUUUCUCUGUCACAGAGAGAGAGGGAGAGGCAGAGACACAGGCAGAGGGAGAAGCAGGCUCCAUGCACCGGGAGCCCGAUGUGGGAUUCGAUCCUGGGUCUCCAGGAUCGUGCCCUGGGCCAAAGGCAGGCGCCAAACCGCUGCGCCACCCAGGGAUCCAGUCCUAAAUCUUCUAUAAUUACUCAUGAAACAGCCCCCAUACUUUUCCAGCAUCAUAAACAAAGCUGUGAUGAACAUCCUCAAAUAUUUACACGUGAUUUUCUUGAGGCAUGAAGAACUGCUUUUUGUGUUCGUGGGCUGAUGAGCUGUGUGACCUUAGGAAACUUACUUAACUUCUCUGAGCUUCCUGUGUUCAUCUGUAAAGUGAAGAUAAUCUGUCUCCACUGGUUGUGGGGACAGCGAUGCUGUGGAAAGUGGGAGUCAUACCAUUUUACAGCCUGGAGGCAACACAGUUUGGAUCUGAGUCUCACAGUGGCUUUCAUCAAAAUAGAGCUGCCAGCUUCAUCCGGCAAUGUCUCUCUCCAGUGUCAGACUGAGUUUCCAGCUCCGGGAAACACAUAGCAUCCUCUUCCAGGUACCUGGCUUUUUAUGUCUUCAUGGAUGUCUGUUCUCCACAAUAUGUCUCUUUCAGUCCAGACCUCCAACAACAUUGGACAUGAACUCAUGCAAAGAAAUGGGGAUAAGAAGAUAGGGAGCCUGUGGCUCUAUGGGUCUCAAUGAAAAUGUUGCUACUAUUAGUAUAUUUUAUUUUUAAUGGAUCAUUUUGGAAGAUGACCUGAGUAUCAUGAUGAUUUGGGCUCAAAGGGUACACAGACCUAGACAUUUAAUAAAAAACUUAUUUUGUGACAUUGUGGUUAUGACAAUACCGGACUCUAAAGAAAUCUACAAUUAAUAGGUGGUCACUGUAGGUACACAGACCACCACAGAAAGUGAAUAGGAAUUUAAAGAAAUCUGUGAAAGAUCAACACAACAACCUCACCAUGAUGGUUUGUCGGGGUGGCUCAGAUAUUGAAGAGACAGAGUGUUCAGUAAUCAGUGACUUCUGCAUGAUAUUUGCAUAGAGAGAACUUUAAAAAGGUUACAUUUCUUUUCUACUUUCAUAUUUACUUUGUGUUAAGGUUAUAGGAUCUCACUGGCAAUGUUGCUGAUGCUAUUUUUGUGAACUCCGACUCAAUGUUUAAAUGUAGCUGGAUGGAAAUUUUGAGCUACAGCAACAAUAAAUAUAUCUGACAUCCUUGUGCCUUUGAAGUUGUACGAUGCCUGAGAGUCAGUCAAGGCUGUUUUUAUGGGUUUUUUUUUCCCUUGAACUCUGAAGUAAGAAAGAAACUUUUGUUUAUAAAUUUCAGAGAUUUUUGUCUUUGCACUUACCACGAAGUCAAAUGUAGAUAUAAUCCAUUUUAAGCACUUUUGGCAAAAUUUCAAAUAUGCCUGUUUUUUUGAUAAGGGGAAAAAUCCCAACUUUUUGUCAACAUAAGUCCUUUACCCUGUGUUGCAGUAUAUGACUUCUGUCAGUCAAGCUGUGAUCUUGUGGACUUAGGGAAUACUGAUCUUGUACAGGAAGUAAGAGGCAGAUAUGUAAUCUGGGCCAUCUUUCUGAUCCAUUUUAGUUAUAUCUGAUUCUAAAUUGAGUUAUAUAGAACUUAACACAACGGGACUCUGUUUCUUUAUGCCUUCCUUCUACAAAUGUAAAAUUUUAUAUGCCGAUCUGAGUGAAGUGAUCUGAGGGUAUUCAAAGUAAAAGAUUAAAAAAAAACUCAAAACAAAGUAAAAGAUUACUUGACUUGUGCUUCAGUGUGUUCUAUAUUGGACUCCUUUAUGAAGAUAUUUGGUAACAGAACAUUUGUGUGUGUUUGUAUAUGUGCAUGAUUUUUUUUUUAAAUCACCACACUUAGAUGUGUGAAUUAGACUACAAGCGCCCUGUAGAGCAGGUUUGGGUGGUGGUGUUCACCAUAACACUUGGUGGAAGGCUCUUGUGAAAUAAAAUGCUAGUAUAUAAUUGUAUAGA